GGGGGUAAAAUGGCUGAGGCAAAAAGCGAUAAAUUGUAAAUUUAUUAACGAGAAAUUCUCUUUUACUA
rnacentral:tRNA from 1 species